rnacentral:misc_RNA from 1 species
UUAAGUUCAGCGGGUAUUCCUACCUGAUCCGAGGUCAACCUUGUAAAAAUUUAGGUAAACGACCGGGUCUAUGAAACCGCCAAGUGCGUGCUCGUGAAAGCUCGUUGCACCAAGGGCCUCAUAGACACCGUCAUUAUCUUUGGGACCGGCCCCGUUAAAGGGCCAGAGGUCCAACACCAAGCCGGGCUUGAGGGGUGAUA